AGUGAACGCUGGCGGUAGGCCUAACACAUGCAAGUCGAACGGCAGCACAGUAGGAGCUUGCUCUUACGGGUGGCGAGUGGCGGACGGGUGAGGAAUACAUCGGAAUCUACUUUUUCGUGGGGGAUAACGUAGGGAAACUUACGCUAAUACCGCAUACGACCUACGGGUGAAAGCAGGGGAUCUUCGGACCUUGCGCGAUUGAAUGAGCCGAUGUCGGAUUAGCUAGUUGGCGGGGUAAAGGCCCACCAAGGCGACGAUCCGUAGCUGGUCUGAGAGGAUGGUCGGCCACACUGGAACUGAGACACGGUCCAGACUCCUACGGGAGGCAGCAGUGGGGAAUAUUGGACAAUGGGCGCAAGCCUGAUCCAGCCAUACCGCGUGGGUGAAGAAGGCCUUCGGGUUGUAAAGCCCUUUUGUUGGGAAAGAAAAGCAGCAGGUUAAUACCCCGCUGUUCUGACGGUACCCAAAGAAUAAGCACCGGCUAACUUCGUG
rnacentral:rRNA from 1 species